UCCAGAGGGUGCGAGCGUUGUUCGGAAUUAUUGGGCGUAAAGGGCGCGUAGGCGGCGCGGUAAGUCACCUGUGAAAUCUCCUGGCUCAACUGGGAGCUUGCAGGCGAAACUGCCGUGCUGGAGUGUGGGAGAGGUGCGUGGAAUUCCUGGUGUAGCGGUGAAAUGCGUAGAUAUCAGGAGGAACACCUGUGGCGAAAGCGGCGCACUGGACCACAACUGACGCUGAGGCGCGAAAGCUAGGGGAGCAAACAGG
rnacentral:rRNA from 1 species